AUACUAAAGUUGCUGCAGUUAAAAAGCUCGUAGUUGGAUUUCGGUUAACGAACAAUUAGUCUACACAACAUGUGUACGAACUGGUUGAUCGUUUCCUUCUUUUCAGAUACACCUUUUUAUAGGGUGUUCUGAAUCUUUUACUUUGAGAAAAUUAGAGUGUUCAAAGCAGGCGUAACCAAGCCUUUGAAUAUAUUAGCAUGGGAUAAUGGAAUAAGACUUUUUGGCUUAUUUUCGUUGGUUCUUUAGGCCUUAAGUAAUGAUUAAUAGGGAUAGUUGGGGUCAUUAGUAUUUAAUAGUCAGAGGUGAAAUUCUAAGAUUUAUUAAAGACUAACUACUGCGAAAGCAUUUGACAAGGAUGUUUUCAUUAAUCAAGAACGAAAGUUGGGGGAUCGAAGAUGAUCAGAUACCGUCGUAGUCUCAACCAUAAACUAUGCCGACCAAGGAUUCGGGGGUGUUAUAUGAAUGACUCUCCGGGCACUUAUAGAGAAAUCACAAGUAUUUGGGUUCCGGGGGGAGUAUGGUCGCAAGGCUGAAACUUAAAGGAAUUGACGGAAGGGCACCACAAGGAGUGGAACUUGCGGUUUAAUUUGACUCAACACGGGAAAACUUACCAGGUCCAGACACAAUGAGGAUUGACAGAUUGAGAGCUCUUUCUUGAUUUUGUGGGUGGUGGUGCAUGGCCGUUUCUAGUUGGUGGAGUGAUUUGUCUGGUUAAUUCCGUUAACGAACGAGACCUUAACCUAUUAAAUAGUGACGUGAAUAUGGAUAAUUUACUUCCAAUCAUUCACGGUUUACUUCUUAGAGGGACUCUUCACGUAAAGAGUGAAUGGAAGUUUGAGGCAAAAACAGGUCUGUGAUGCCCUUAGAAGUUCUGGGCUACACGCGUGUUACACUGACAUGUUCAACAAGUUAUAAUAUUCCUUACCCGAUGGGGUUGGGUAAUCUUUUAAAUGCAUGUCGUGAUGGGGAUAGAGCAUUGUAAUUAUUGCUCUUGAACGAGGAAUUCCUAGUAAGUGCAAGUCAUUAACUUGCGCUGAUUACGUCCCUGCCCUUUGUACACACCGCCCGUCGCUCCUACCGAUGAAUGGUCCGGUGAGGAUUCAGGAUGACCUUUGGAUUUUGAUUCGUCAUGCCACUGUCUGUCAGAAUUUGUUCAAACC
rnacentral:rRNA from 1 species